AACGAACGCUGGCGGCAGGCUUAACACAUGCAAGUCGAACGCAUCCUUCGGGGUGAGUGGCAGACGGGUGAGUAACGCGUGGGAACGUGCCCUUCAGUUCGGGAUAACCCAGGGAAACUUGGGCUAAUACCGGAUACGUGCGAGAGCAGAAAGAUUUAUCGCUGAAGGAUCGGCCCGCGUCUGAUUAGCUAGUUGGUGGGGUAAUGGCCCACCAAGGCGACGAUCAGUAGCUGGUCUGAGAGGAUGAUCAGCCACAUUGGGACUGAGACACGGCCCAAACUCCUACGGGAGGCAGCAGUGGGGAAUAUUGGACAAUGGGCGCAAGCCUGACGCAGCGACGCCGCGUGAGGGAUGACGGCCUUCGGGUUGUAAACCUCUUUCAGCACCGACGAAGCGCAAGUGACGGUAGGUGCAGAAGAAGGACCGGCCAACUACGUGCCAGCAGCCGCCGUAA
rnacentral:rRNA from 1 species